UUUAAAAAGUUUGUUUAAAAUCUUGUUUUUGUUAUCCAAAAAAAUGUUAUAAUACUGAACUAUCAUUUUGUGUUUUCAAGUGUGGAAAGCGGGAAAAGGAGACGACAACCGCGACGACAACGGUAAUGAUGAUUACUGACGGUUUUAAAUCAUUCGCUAAUUAUUGCAAUUGUUGCUCGCCUUCGGUGAGCUGCCCGUUGUCCUGCUCCUCUUGUAUAUAUCCUCAAGGCCCGACGCCGCUGAUGACGUUCUCGCCGAAUAAUUGAUGAUGGCCUGGCGGCUCACACUGGUAAUCAAACACCCAAAGAGUUGAUUCGCUUUUUGAGAAAUUCAAGUGACCGCAAAACAAACAAUUUCCUGGUGCAAAAAAAAAGAGGAGGAAAAUCACCCGCCAGGAAUCCAGAGGGCUUAACCAUUGCACUUUGCCCGUACAUUUGCGAAUCCCCACAGCAAUCAACCUAAUUUAUUGCGACUCCCCGAAACCCAGUGAAACUCGAACCGCAGCCAAUGACUGUCAUUCAUCUAUGAAUGUUAAUAAUUUCCAUUGCCUUUUGGCCAAAUGCGAAAUUCAACAACCACACCAUUGCAUUGCAUUUCAUUGGCCUGUGAGUUUUUGUGGCUGCAGCCCUGGCAUUCACUCUGCGGUUUUUAUUUCCUCGGUUGCUUUGAAGCCCUUGAGUCAGUC
ensembl:ncRNA lncRNA:CR43802 long non-coding RNA:CR43802